GCAUAUCAAUAAGCGGAGGAAAAGAAACUAACAAGGAUUCCCCUAGUAACGGCGAGUGAAGCGGGAAGAGCUCAAAUUUGUAAUCUGGCACUUUCAGUGUCCGAGUUGUAAUCUCGAGAAGUAUUUUCCGCGCCGGACCGCAUACAAGUCUGUUGGAAUACAGCGUCAUAGUGGUGAGAACCCCGUAACUGAUGCGGAUGCCCGGUGCUUUGUGAUAUACUUUCGAAGAGUCGAGUUGUUUGGGAAUGCAGCUCAAAUUGGGUGGUAAAUUCCAUCUAAAGCUAAAUAUUGGAGCAAGACCGAUAGCGAACAAGUACCGUGAGGGAAAGAUGAAAAGCACUUUGGAAAGAGAGUUAACAGUACGUGAAAUUGUUGGAAGGGAAACGCUUGAAGUCAGACUUGCUAUUCGGAGUUCAGCCGCAAGGUGUAUUCUUCGAUUUGCAGGCCAGCAUCAGUUUUUGGGGGUGGAAAAUCGUGGUUUGAAGGUAGCAGCUUCGGCUGUGUUAUAGCUUUCCACUGGAUUCAUCUUCGGGGACUGAGGAACGCAGUACGCUUUUUGCAAGGCUUUCGAGCUUUUCGUACUUAGGAUGCUGGUGGAAUGGCUUUAAACGACCCGUCUUGAAACACGGACC
rnacentral:rRNA from 1 species